rnacentral:misc_RNA from 1 species
AACCAUAGAAACCUGCGGAGUACCUGCGGAAGGAUCAUUACAGAGUUGCAAAACUCCCACAAACCAUCGCGAAUCUUACCCGUACGGUUGCCUCGGCGCUGGCGGUCCGGAAGGCCCUCGGGCCCCCGGACCCUCGGGUCUCCCGCUCGCGGGAGGCUGCCCGCCGGAGUGCCGAAACCAAACUCUUGAUAUUUUAUGUCUCUCUGAGUAAACUUUUAAAUAAGUCAAAACUUUUAACAA